rnacentral:rRNA from 2 species
AAAUUGAAGAGUUUGAUCAUGGCUCAGAUUGAACGCUGGCGGCAGGCCUAACACAUGCAAGUCGAACGGUAACAGGAAGCAGCUUGCUGCUUCGCUGACGAGUGGCGGACGGGUGAGUAAUGUCUGGGAAACUGCCUGAUGGAGGGGGAUAACUACUGGAAACGGUGGCUAAUACCGCAUAACGUCGCAAGACCAAAGAGGGGGACCUUCGGGCCUCUUGCCAUCAGAUGUGCCCAGAUGGGAUUAGCUUGUUGGUGAGGUAACGGCUCACCAAGGCGACGAUCCCUAGCUGGUCUGAGAGGAUGACCAGCCACACUGGAACUGAGACACGGUCCAGACUCCUACGGGAGGCAGCAGUGGGGAAUAUUGCACAAUGGGCGCAAGCCUGAUGCAGCCAUGCCGCGUGUAUGAAGAAGGCCUUCGGGUUGUAAAGUACUUUCAGCGGGGAGGAAGGUGUUGUGGUUAAUAACCGCAGCAAUUGACGUUACCCGCAGAAGAAGCACCGGCUAACUCCGUGCCAGCAGCCGCGGUAAUACGGAGGGUGCAAGCGUUAAUCGGAAUUACUGGGCGUAAAGCGCACGCAGGCGGUCUGUCAAGUCGGAUGUGAAAUCCCCGGGCUCAACCUGGGAACUGCAUUCGAAACUGGCAGGCUUGAGUCUUGUAGAGGGGGGUAGAAUUCCAGGUGUAGCGGUGAAAUGCGUAGAGAUCUGGAGGAAUACCGGUGGCGAAGGCGGCCCCCUGGACAAAGACUGACGCUCAGGUGCGAAAGCGUGGGGAGCAAACAGGAUUAGAUACCCUGGUAGUCCACGCCGUAAACGAUGUCUACUUGGAGGUUGUGCCCUUGAGGCGUGGCUUCCGGAGCUAACGCGUUAAGUAGACCGCCUGGGGAGUACGGCCGCAAGGUUAAAACUCAAAUGAAUUGACGGGGGCCCGCACAAGCGGUGGAGCAUGUGGUUUAAUUCGAUGCAACGCGAAGAACCUUACCUGGUCUUGACAUCCACGGAAGUUUUCAGAGAUGAGAAUGUGCCUUCGGGAACCGUGAGACAGGUGCUGCAUGGCUGUCGUCAGCUCGUGUUGUGAAAUGUUGGGUUAAGUCCCGCAACGAGCGCAACCCUUAUCCUUUGUUGCCAGCGGUCCGGCCGGGAACUCAAAGGAGACUGCCAGUGAUAAACUGGAGGAAGGUGGGGAUGACGUCAAGUCAUCAUGGCCCUUACGACCAGGGCUACACACGUGCUACAAUGGCGCAUACAAAGAGAAGCGACCUCGCGAGAGCAAGCGGACCUCAUAAAGUGCGUCGUAGUCCGGAUUGGAGUCUGCAACUCGACUCCAUGAAGUCGGAAUCGCUAGUAAUCGUGGAUCAGAAUGCCACGGUGAAUACGUUCCCGGGCCUUGUACACACCGCCCGUCACACCAUGGGAGUGGGUUGCAAAAGAAGUAGGUAGCUUAACCUUCGGGAGGGCGCUUACCACUUUGUGAUUCAUGACUGGGGUGAAGUCGUAACAAGGUAACCGUAGGGGAACCUGCGGUUGGAUCA